AUGCUCAAAAUUCUCCAAGCCAGGCUUCAGCAACAUGUGAACCGUGAACUCCCUGAUGUUCAAGCUGGUUUUAGAAAAGGCAGAGGAACCAGAGAUCAAAUUGCCAACAUCCGCUGGAUCAUGGACAAAGCUAGAGAGUUCCAGAAAAAUAUCUAUUUUUGCUUUAUUGACUAUGCCAAAGCCUUUGACUGUGUGGAUCACAGUAAACUGUGGAAAAUUCUGAAAGAGAUGGGAAUACCAGACCACCUGACCUGCCUCUUGAGAAAUCUGUAUGCAGGUCAGGAAGCAACAGUUAGAACUGGACAUGGAAAAACAGACUGGUUCCAAAUAGGAAAAGGUGUACAUCAAGGCUGUAUAUUGUCACCCUGCUUAUUUGAUUUAUAUGCAGAGUACGUCAUGAGAAAUGCUGGACUGGAAGAAACACAAGCUGGAAUCAAGAUUGCCGGGAGAAAUAUCAAUAACCUCAGAUAUGCAGAUGACACCACCGUUAUGGCAGAAAGCGAAGAGGAACUCAAAAGCCUCUUGAUGAAACUGAAAGAGGAGAGUGAAAAAGUUGGCUUAAAGCUCAACAUUCAGAAAAUGAAGAUCAUGGCAUCUGGUCCCAUCACUUCAUGGGAAAUAGAUGGGGAAACAGUGGAAACAGUGUCAGACUUUAUUUUUGGGGGCUCCAAAAUCACUGCAGAUGGUGACUGCAGCCAUGAAAUUAAAAGACACUUACUCCUUGGAAGAAAAGUUAUGACCAACCUAGAUAGCAUAUUGAAAAGCAGAGACAUUACUUUGCCGACUAAGGUCCGUCUAGUCAAGGCUAUGGUUUUUCCUGUGGUCAUGUAUGGAUGUGAGAGUUGGACUGUGAAAAAGGUUGAGUGCCGAAGAAUUGAUGCUUUUGAACUGUGGUGUUGGAGAAGACUCUUGAGAGUCCCUUGGUCUGCAAGGAGAUCCAACCAGUCCAUUCUGAAGGAGAUCAGCCCUGGGAUUUCUUUGGAAGAAAUGAUACUAAAACUGAAACUCCAGUACUUUGGCCACUUCAUGCGAAGAGUUGACUCAUUGGAAAAGACUCUGAUGCUGGGGAGGAUUGGGGGCAGGAGGAGAAGGCCACGACCGAGGAUGAGAUGGCUGGAUGGCAUCAUGGACUUGAUGGACAUGAAUCUGAGUGAACUCCAGGAGUUGGUGAUGGACAGGGAGGCCUGGCAUGCUGCAAUUCAUGGGGCCGCAAAGAGUCGGACACGACUGAGCGACUGA
rnacentral:lncRNA from 1 species